GCAAUCAUACUACCACUAAUGCACCGGAUCCCAUCAGAACUCCGCAAUUAAGCAUGCUUGGGCAAGGGUAGUACUAAGAUGGGUGACCCCGUGAGAAUUCCUUAUGUUGCACCCU